CCUGCAAGGACUGUGACAAACAAUACAUAGGACAGACUUCACAAAGACUAAAAGACAGACUAAACGCACAUAAAUAUGCAAAAAACGCAACUACAGCACUUAAUAAACAUAAAAAAAAUCAAAAACAUGAUUUUAAUUACGAUGACACGAAAAUUUUAGGAAUAGAACCCCAACAACGACGAAGGGAAAUAUUGGAAAUGAUUCACAUACAAGUAAACAAUGAAAAUGUAGUGAACGAAAAACAAGACACGAAAAAGCUCAGUCAAAUAUACAUGCCAAUACUGAGAAGACCACCGAUAGAAAGAAGAAGACAAGACAACCAACAUUCCAUUGACCCCUGACAUUGACAUAUAUGACAUUAACAUAAAUAACACAACAAUACCGACCAGAAAAGAGCAAAAAUGAACAAUGUCGAUUUAUGAUUUAUGUAUACUGAAGAAGGCGAAUGGGCCGAAACGUUUAUACUACACAAAAUAAAAUUGUUUACAACUU